UCGGGUUUAAUACUCAAAUAAUCAAUCCAUUAUUGCAUUCGUGAAACGGCUAGCGGGUUCAUUAAUCAAAUGAUCAAUUCAUUAUUGCGUUCUUGAAACGACUAACGGGUUCAAUAUCAAUUCGUUAAUGUAAUCUUGAGGGGUACGCUUCACUUAGUUUGACUGUAAUAUGUUAGUUAUUGCCGUUAAUGGAUUUUACACCCAAAGUCACACACAGUACGCUUGGGCCGCCUGUGAGUUGACCGGUAACACAACACGUGUUGCAAAGAAGGUCGCCAAAACGGCGUUAAAUGGGCCGUAAACGACAAAGAAGUUGACUGUUGACACCGCAGGCGUUACAAAGCAAGUCGCCAAAACAGCGUUAAAACAACCAUUGGCAACAAAGCGGGUACGGAAAAAAAUUUACAUCCCAAAGUCACACAGUACGCCGCCUGUGUUCAUAUGGCCUUGGAAGACAAGGCAAGCAAAACACGACAGCACAACAACAAGGCAAGGUAAACUUGUAGGUAUCGAGCAUAGUUUGUGAAAGACAUUCAAUCUUUGUACUCGACUUCAAUGUAUCAAGAGGUUUUUGAAUUGAUAUUUGCUGAAAGGUGACCGUGGCCUAUCCAAACUCGAAAAAUUAUAACAUUUCGGCGUUCUCAAAUAAUCGUUACUAUGAAGCGGCCUUUGUGUGUUUCGUGAGUCCUGACGUGACAUUAUUUUACGGGUACGAACACUCUUUAUUUUAUCCUUACGACUCGUUUUUUAUUAUUGAUAUUUUAUUUUACCCUCAGUCUGCAAUUUACCUCUAGCCUGCAAUCUACCUCGAGUCUGCAAUCUGCAGUCUGCAUCUUAACCUCAGUCUACAUUUUACCCCCGGUCUGCAGUCU